AACUUCCCCUAAACUGGAGAUCUUGGAAUCCUUAGUGUGGGUGUCAUCUUGAGACUCUCCCAUACUUUCUUCAUCCAUGUUCACUUGCAGACCUACAGCCCUCUUCUGUACUAUUCCUUCUCUGUUGACCUCAACAGACUUUCCAGGGUCUCUUGCUGUAUCCUCACUGCCAACUCUACCUGACUGCACUCCUGGCAGAACAGGGGAAAAGGUGUCCGUACCUUCCCACUCAGACGGAUCUGACUCCACAGACCUAC
rnacentral:lncRNA from 1 species